rnacentral:rRNA from 1 species
GGGUGGAUUAGUGGCGAACGGGUGAGUAACACGUGGGCAAUCUGCCCUUCACUCUGGGACAAGCCCUGGAAACGGGGUCUAAUACCGGAUAACACUCUGUCCUGCAUGGGACGGGGUUGAAAGCUCCGGCGGUGAAGGAUGAGCCCGCGGCCUAUCAGCUUGUUGGUGGGGUAAUGGCCUACCAAGGCGACGACGGGUAGCCGGCCUGAGAGGGCGACCGGCCACACUGGGACUGAGACACGGCCCAGACUCCUACGGGAGGCAGCAGUGGGGAAUAUUGCACAAUGGGCGAAAGCCUGAUGCAGCGACGCCGCGUGAGGGAUGACGGCCUUCGGGUUGUAAACCUCUUUCAGCAGGGAAGAAGCGCAAGUGACGGUACCUGCAGAAGAAGCGCCGGCUAACUACGUGCCAGCAGCCGCGGUAAUACGUAGGGCGCAAGCGUUGUCCGGAAUUAUUGGGCGUAAAGAGCUCGUAGGCGGCUUGUCACGUCGGAUGUGAAAGCCCGGGGCUUAACCCCGGGUCUGCAUUCGAUACGGGCUAGCUAGAGUGUGGUAGGGGAGAUCGGAAUUCCUGGUGUAGCGGUGAAAUGCGCAGAUAUCAGGAGGAACACCGGUGGCGAAGGCGGAUCUCUGGGCCAUUACUGACGCUGAGGAGCGAAAGCGUGGGGAGCGAACAGGAUUAGAUACCCUGGUAGUCCACGCCGUAAACGUUGGGAACUAGGUGUUGGCGACAUUCCACGUCGUCGGUGCCGCAGCU